rnacentral:rRNA from 1 species
CGCACGAGCGCACCCUUAUCCUUAGUUGCCAGCACGUAAUGGUGGGAACUCUCCNNUNGACUGCCGGUGACAAACCGGAGGAAGGUGGGGACGACGUCAAGUCAUCAUGGCCCUUACGAGAUGGGCUACACACGUGCUACAAUGGCAAGUACAAAGGGUUGCAAACUCGCGAGAGUAAGCGGAUCCCAUAAAGCUUGUCGUAGUCCGGAUUGGAGUCUGCAACUCGACUCCAUGAAGUCGGAAUCGCUAGUAGUCGUGGAUCAGAAUGCCACGGUGAAUACGUUCCCGGGCCUUGUACACACCGCCCGUCACACCAUGGGAGUGGGCUGCAAAAGAAGUGGAUAGCUUAACCUUCGGGAGGGCGUUCACCACUUUGUGGUUCAUGACUGGGGUGAAGUCGUAACAAGGUAGCCGUAGGGGAACCUGCGGCUGGAUCACCUCCUU